GGGGAUUUAGCUCAGUGGCAGAGCGCUUGCCUAGCAAGCACAAGGUCCUGGGUUCGGUCCCCAGCUCCG
rnacentral:tRNA from 1 species